rnacentral:rRNA from 1 species
UACGUAGGGUGCAAGCGUUAUCCGGAAUUACUGGGCGUAAAGCGUGCGCAGGCGGCUUUGCAAGUCAGAUGUGAAAUCCCCGGGCUUAACCUGGGAACUGCAUUUGUGACUGCAUGGCUGGAGUGCGGCAGAGGGGGAUGGAAUUCCGCGUGUAGCGGUGAAAUGCGUAGAUAUGCGGAGGAACACCGAUGGCGAAGGCGAUCCCCUGGGCCUGAACUGACGCUCAUGCACGAAAGCGUGGGGAGCAAACAGG